UUUCGGAUUGCGGCGACGCCGGCGGUUCGCCGCCGGUGACGUUGUGAGAAGUUCAUUAAACCUUAUCAUUUAGAGGAAGGAGAAGUCGUAACAAGGUUUCCGUAGGUGAACCUGCGGAAGGAUCAUUG
rnacentral:rRNA from 8 species